GGUAGUGUGGCCGAGCGGUCUAAGGCGUUGGAUUUAGGCUCCAGUCUUUUUGGAGGUGUGGGUUCAAAUCCCACCACUGCCA
rnacentral:tRNA from 1 species